AGUCGAGCGAGUCUGCCUUGAAGAUCGGAGUGCUUGCACUCUGUGGAACAAGAUACAGGCUAGCGGCGGACGGGUGAGUAACACGUGGGUAACCUGCCCAAGAGAUCGGGAUAACACCUGGAAACAGAUGCUAAUACCGGAUAACAACAGAUGAUGCCUAUCAACUGUUUAAAAGAUGGUUCUGCUAUCACUCUUGGAUGGACCUGCGGUGCAUUAGCUAGUUGGUAGGGUAACGGCCUACCAAGGCGAUGAUGCAUAGCCGAGUUGAGAGACUGAUCGGCCACAUUGGGACUGAGACACGGCCCAAACUCCUACGGGAGGCAGCAGUAGGGAAUCUUCCACAAUGGACGCAAGUCUGAUGGAGCAACGCCGCGUGAGUGAAGAAGGGUUUCGGCUCGUAAAGCUCUGUUGUUGGUGAAGAAGGACAGGGGUAGUAACUGACCUUUGUUUGACGGUAAUCAAUUAGAAAGUCACGGCUAACUACGUGCCAGCAGCCGCGGUAAUACGUAGGUGGCAAGCGUUGUCCGGAUUUAUUGGGCGUAAAGCGAGUGCAGGCGGCUCGAUAAGUCUGAUGUGAAAGCCUUCGGCUCAACCGGAGAAUUGCAUCAGAAACUGUCGAGCUUGAGUACAGAAGAGGAGAGUGGAACUCCAUGUGUAGCGGUGAAAUGCGUAGAUAUAUGGAAGAACACCGGUGGCGAAGGCGGCUCUCUGGUCUGUUACUGACGCUGAGGCUCGAAAGCAUGGGUAGCGAACAGGAUUAGAUACCCUGGUAGUCCAUGCCGUAAACGAUGAGUGCUAAGUGUUGGGAGGUUUCCGCCUCUCAGUGCUGCAGCUA
rnacentral:rRNA from 1 species